AUCCGGGAUGCGCCGAGCUCUGCCACUUCCCGGAGUCCGUUCUUUCUCCGAGGCAGAGACGGGGGACCCAGAGUCUCCGGGCCAGGCUUUUUGCCGGCCCUUGGGGUGAAGCCGCAGCGUGAUGCGCGGCCGGAUGACCUCAUCCGAACCCGACAGCUAACUCCGCAGGCGCCGAGAGGUAAUCA
rnacentral:sRNA from 2 species